UGGCUGGGGGGGCACCCUGACCGAGCAACGCCGCGUGAGUGAAGAAGGUUUUCGGAUCGUAAAGCUCUGUUGUAAGUCAAGAACGGGUGUGAGAGUGGAAAGUUCACACUGUGACGGUAGCUUACCAGAAAGGGACGGCUAACUACGUGCCAGCAGCCGCGGUAAUACGUAGGUCCCGAGCGUUGUCCGGAUUUAUUGGGCGUAAAGCGAGCGCAGGCGGUUUGAUAAGUCUGAAGUUAAAGGCUGUGGCUCAACCAUAGUUCGCUUUGGAAACUGUCAAACUUGAGUGCAGAAGGGGAGAGUGGAAUUCCAUGUGUAGCGGUGAAAUGCGUAGAUAUAUGGAGGAACACCGGUGGCGAAAGCGGCUCUCUGGUCUGUAACUGACGCUGAGGCUCGAAAGCGUGGGGAGCGAACAGGAUUAGAUACCCUUGGGUAG
rnacentral:rRNA from 1 species